GGAGGAAUGGUAGAGCGGUUGAAUACAGCAGUCUUGAAAACUGCCAGACCUUCGCGGGUCUCGUGGGUUCGAAUCCCACUUCCUCCGCCA
rnacentral:tRNA from 1 species